rnacentral:rRNA from 1 species
CCUACGGGAGGCAGCAGUGAGGAAUCUUGGUCAAUGGGCGGAAGCCUGAUCCUGCCAAGUAGCGUGCAGGAUUACGGCCCUACGGGUUGUAAACUGCUUUUAUACGGGAAUAACGCGCCUUACGUGUAGGGCUUUGCAUGUACACUAUGAAUAAGGUCCGGCUAAUUCCGUGCCAGCAGCCGCGGUAAUACGGAUGGGCCGGGCGUUAGCCGGAUGUAUUGGGUGUAAAGGUAGCGUAGGCCGCAUGUCAAGCGUGCUGUGAAAUGUCCGGGCGCAACCCGGGCCUUGCAGCGCGAACUGGCGUGCUUGAGUCCGCGGAAGGCAGGCGGAAUUCGUGGUGUAGCGGUGAAAUGCUUAGAUAUGACGAAGAACCCUGAUUGCGAAGGCAGCUUGCUGCAGCGGAACUGACGCUGAUGCACGAAAGCGCGGGUAUCGAACAGGAUUAGAUACCCGGGUAGUC